UUGGGGAAUUUUGGACAAUGGGCGCAAGCCUGAUCCAGCCAUGCCGCGUGUCUGAAGAAGGCCUUCGGGUUGUAAAGGACUUUUGUCAGGGAAGAAAAGGCUGUUGCUAAUACCGACAGCUGAUGACGGUACCUGAAGAAUAAGCACCGGCUAACUACGUGCCAGCAGCCGCGGUAAUACGUAGGGUGCGAGCGUUAAUCGGAAUUACUGGGCGUAAAGCGAGCGCAGACGGUUACUUAAGCAGGAUGUGAAAUCCCCGGGCUCAACCUGGGAACUGCGUUCUGAACUGGGUGACUAGAGUGUGUCAGAGGGAGGUAGAAUUCCACGUGUAGCAGUGAAAUGCGUAGAGAUGUGGAGGAAUACCGAUGGCGAAGGCAGCCUCCUGGGAUAACACUGACGUUCAUGCUCGAAAGCGUGGGUAGCAAACAGGAUUAGAUACCCUGGUAGUCCACGCCCUAAACGAUGUCAAUUAGCUGUUGGGCAACUUGAUUGCUUAGUAGCGUAGCUUAACGCGUGAAAAUUGACCGCCUGGGGGAAGUACGGUCGCAAGAUUUA
rnacentral:rRNA from 1 species